UACGGGGGGGGUAAGCGUUGUUCGGAAUUACUGGGCGUAGAGGGCUCGUAGGCGGCCAACUAAGUCAUACGUGAAAUCCCUCAGCUUAACUGGGGAACUGCGUGUGAUACUGGAUGGCUUGGAUUUGGGAGAGGGAUGCGGAAUUCCAGGUGUAGCGGUGAAAUGCGUAGAUAUCUGGAGGAACACCGGUGGCGAAGGCGGCAUCCUGGACCAAUAUUGACGCUGAGGAGCGAAAGCCAGGGGAGCAAACGGG
rnacentral:rRNA from 1 species